UCUGUCUGGGGAAAGGCUCCUGUGCUGUUGACCCUGCCCAGUAGUGAGUGCAGCCUUGCAUAUGCGGGCAGCCCAAGCCUGGCCUAAUGUAAAUUUGCAGAAGUCUCCUGGGUUUUGAAUUUGCAGUAACAGGUGUGAGAAUUCUAGUAGCAGCCUGAUGAUCGUGUAUGAUAAUGCAAAUAGGA